UGCUCCUGUUCCAGGGCUAGGGAUGGGGUCCUCCAAAACUAAGCCAAUCAGGAGCCCACAUGGAGCCCCUAAUACCACCAUGGGGUGAAUCGCAGGAGGAUGGCACAGCAAGGAUGGGAUUAGUCAGGAGACAGAGGCCAGCAACCAAGAAAACAAGGCAGGUUUGGAAGCUACACAGCUGCUUCAUGCUUCCCCCUGGGUGGGAACUCUGGCCCCUGAGCACCCGAUUCCCCACUCUAGGAUCAUGCAGAAGCACACACCCAAGUUUGCAAGACCUGCACUAUCUCUUUUAAGCAUCAGCACAUGCUGGUCCGUCCCCACCCCAGGGUCUAGAGAGACCACAGAGAAGUGGCCCCCGCACUGCCCUGCCAGUUCCAGGCUGCUCAUCCCAACUCCAGCUUCUUCAUCUCCAGGGCUGGUGCCGGCACUGCCGGCUGGCUUCUCCGGAGCGCAGACAGGGAGCG